rnacentral:rRNA from 1 species
CCCUACUCCUACGGGAGGCAGCAGUAGGGAAUAUUCCACAAUGGGCGAAAGCCUGAUGCAGCCACGCCGCGUGUGUGAAGAAGGCUUUCGGGUUGUAAAGCACUUUAGUAUGGGAGGAACAGCUAUAGCUAUAAUAACGUUUUUAGUUUGACGUA